CUCCUUGCUGCUUCAGAAAGCAAAAGUAAUAUCAGUUCUAAUUAUAUAUCGAUCCGAUUUGGUUGUAUUUAUGGCACAAGAUACUGUUGUAUAGUAUUGUCUUCAGAACUUGGUCAGAUGAACAGAGGGAACAAAUUUAAUGUAGAACUUGCAUGAAAUGUUAUUGCACAGUUCAAAGCUAUCCAAGGUACAAAUACAAAUUUGUAAGAGAACACAAGAUAAGUAAAAGCAACUGUUUCACAUGCAGUACAAAUCCACCAGCUUACUGUUCCUUUUUUGAUCUCUCAAACCAUCAACCAGGAAGUGAUGGAGCAAAAAGGCGAGAGUCGAACAUUGAACAAAUAUGGAAUCAAAUGCUACCCUUUGAAUGAAGGAGAUUAUGUCCAUUUGAGUCAUGAGCAAUACUAACUAGUUUCAAUUGAGGGGUAAAAACCCAUUUUUAUUAGGAGAAAAAAAAAUUGAUGGAUAUUUAAUUAUCCGUAUUUUACGAAAAAGGCAUAUUUGUCAUAUUGAAUUGGAAAGUAUAAUGUAGUUAUUUCCGGCUGUUAGGUUUAAAAACCAUGAUAUAAGUAUGGAUUAUAACGUAUACACAGGUAACUCAUGAAUCUCUUAUGAGUUGUGGUUUUUUAAGAGUAACAAGAUGGAUAGGUAUAAGUAAAAUCCUGUUAAUGUCAGCAAUUUUGAAAGCCUAUAUCCAUGUAAGGUAAAUGUCAUUCAAAAACCUAAAUGGUGGAUUAACAUAAAAAGUUAUAGACACAGUUGUCUUCGUGAUAAAGUGUUAACCGUAC
rnacentral:lncRNA from 1 species